CAUUCCUUUUCGACUACACGAUCGCCGCGGACCUAACCCCUCCGGGCAAAAUCCGCAACGGUCGCGAUCGUCCUUCUUUCCAAGGCACAAGGCAACCCGAUGGGGCAAAAGGGGGAGAUCCCCCGCCCGUAUAACUUUCCGCAUCCGAAACCACGAGCAAUAGGCAUAUGUGCCAACGCAACCACGCCGUGGCCUGCGGGGAACACAUGCAUUGCUACGCGGUUGGCCCAUUGCCGUGGCAGGCAAGGGGCGAAGGGCCACAGUCAUCGCGACCAAUUUCCACCGUAGUGGGUAACCAGCACAGGAACCUAGCGUCACCCCCGAAAAAAUUUCGGGUACUUGCAUCUUGAAGGGAUCGUGGCAAAACAGUUCGGUGCCCGAGGGCAUGGAGCCUGCCUUCCCAAAUGAUCGUAGCACCACUCACGCGC
rnacentral:misc_RNA from 1 species